AAGACCUUGCACUUUUGGAGCGGCCGAUGUCUGAUUAGCUAGUUGGUGGGGUAAUGGCCUACCAAAGCUUCGAUCAGUAGCUGGUCUGAGAGGACGGCCAGCCACACUGGGACUGAGACACGGCCCAGACUCCUACGGGAGGCAGCAGUGGGGAAUUUUGGACAAUGGGCGCAAGCCUGAUCCAGCCAUGCCGCGUGAGUGAAGAAGGCCUUCGGGUUGUAAAGCUCUUUCAGCCGGGAAGAAAAGGUUGCGACUAAUAAUCGCAAUUCAUGACGGUACCGAAAGAAGAAGCACCGGCUAACUACGUGCCAGCAGCCGCGGUAAUACGUAGGGUGCGAGCGUUAAUCGGAAUUACUGGGCGUAAAGGGUGCGCAGGCGGUUUUGUAAGUCAGAUGUGAAMUCCCCGGGCUUAACCUGGGAACU
rnacentral:rRNA from 1 species